CAAUACACCCAACUUUAAUACAUUAAAUUGUUUUCAUAACCUUUUGGUGAAAAUACCAUACUGAAAUACAGGUAAUGUAGCAAAUACUUAGAAUAGCCAUUGCAGUAAUGGCUAACUGUAAUAUAGAAAAAAGUAGUAGAUACCUGAAACAGCCUUCCAGCGUAAACUGUAAGGCUAACUGUGAUAUAGAAAAGGGUAGUAAGUACAAGGAAUAGCUUUCCAGUGGAAGCAGUAAAGGCUAACUGUCAUAGAAAGGAUAUUAGAUGCAUAGAAUAACCCUUCAGUGGAAGCAGUAAAGGCCAGGAGUGAUACAGAAAGAGUAGUAGAUACAAGGAAUAGCCUUCCAGUGGAAGCAGUAAAGGCUAACCAUGCCAUAGAAAGGUUAGAAGAUGCAAGGAAUAGCCUUCUAGUGCAAGCGGCAAAGGUUAUCAGUGAUAUAUAAAAGGUAGUAGAUACUUGGAAUAACCUUUCAGUAGAAGCAGUAAAGACUAACAGUGAUAUAGAAAAGUGUAGUAGAUACAUGGAAUAACCUUUUAG